rnacentral:rRNA from 1 species
CCGGCGACCGGCGCACGGGUGAGUAACACGUAUGCAACCUGCCCGUCUUCAGGGGGACAACCUUCCGAAAGGGAGGCUAAUCCCGCGUAUAUCGGUUUCGGGCAUCCGAGAUCGAGGAAAGAUUCAUCGGAAGAGGAUGGGCAUGCGGCGCAUUAGCUAGACGGCGGGGUAACGGCCCACCGUGGCGACGAUGCGUAGGGGUUCUGAGAGGAAGGUCCCCCACACUGGUACUGAGACACGGACCAGGCUCCUACGGGAGGCAGCAG